rnacentral:rRNA from 1 species
AUUGAACGCUGGCGGCAGGCCUAACACAUGCAAGUCGAGCGGAGCGGCGGACGGGUGAGUAAUGCCUAGGAAUAUGCCUGGUAGUGGGGGAUAACGUACGGAAACGGGCGCUAAUACCGCAUACUAUCAGAUGAGCCUAGGUCGGAUUAGCUAGUUGGUGGGGUAAAGGCAUACGAAGGCGACGAUCCGUAACUGGUCUGAGAGGAUGAUCGUGCACACUGGAACUGAGACACGGUCCGGCCGCCGACGGGAGGCAUCAGUGGGGAAUAUUGGACAAUGGGCGAAGUCCUGAUCCAGCCAUGCCGCGUGGGUGAAGAAGGUCUUCGGAUUGUAAAGCACUUUAAGUUGGGAGGCGUUACCGACAGAGUAAGCACCGGCUAACUUCGUGCCAGCAGCCGCGGUAAUAC